ensembl:lncRNA
UUCUAAAAGAGGAAACGGCUGGUGGUGAUGGAACAGAACCUGUUCUAAAAGAGGAAAUGGCUAGUGGUGAUGGACUGAGGAGAUGCAUCUGAAAAGUUCUAAAACAGGAACUGUGUGUGUGUGUGUGUGUGUGUGUGUCGACUGAUUAUGGACAGCUGUGAGAGUCUAGGUUGGAACCCUGGAGGUAGAAACAACCCUUCUCUCUGACUCUGAACUCAACUCCCAGAAUGAGUCUAGACAGACAGACGGAGGGAACCGGCCCCAUGAUACAAGAGACUGGACUCAUGAACCACACAGACAGAUUGACAUAUGGAUAUUAUCUCCUGUUUGUAGCCACUAUCUCCAUUUCAAAGAGAUCUACUGAAGAGACUAUUACAGAGAGAGAGAGAAACCAUACAUUUCCUUUAUUUGUGACUAUUGGGCCGAGCAGAACCAAGGAUAGCAUGUGUGUUUCAGCUGCUGGUUCUGUUUCGGUUUACAGAUGCUGAAAUUGCCCAUAAGCUAUUUUUUGAAUACACAAACCUUCUCAUUAAAAAACACACACACACACACACACACACACAAACACACACACACACACAUAAUGCUCAUCAUGUAGGAAUUGGAUCCCAGGAAAGUAUUCUGCCAUCUUGACAGAUACCUGAACAAGGAACAUGUUUACUUCACCUGUGUGUUUUGUGUACCUCCUAAAGACAUAUAAAUAUCAUUUUUAAUGUGGACAUUUCAGACAUUGGACAGAAUAGCACAAAAAGAACCCUGUAAGAUGUUGACCACGUUAAGCUCAAUAUGUAUUCAUUCUAUGCUAAGUUUUCUGUUCUGCUGAUGCCUAACCGUGAGUUCAUAACACUGAACUCAGAAGUGCAUCUCGAUUUACAUGUUUUGUGUCUUUCUGUUCUUGAGAAAAGGUGUGAUGCUUUAGAAACACACUGUGAUUGUCAGUCUGUAGGAUAUGUCUAUGGUGUUGGUUUAGGUGAGUCUUUGGUUCAAUUGAAAUAUUGGUCCUUGUGUAUCUGAAGAAGCUGCAGUGUUCAGAACGACCUGCAGGGGUCUCCCUCCCACUGAGAAACACUAGAUCUGUCCUAUAGAACAGGACUGGCCAGUAUUCUAAAAGAGGGCCGGUGUGGGUGCAGGCUUUUGCCCCAGCCAAGCAGUAACACACCUGAUUCUAUAUCUGGUGGAUGUUAUCGUUGGAUGCUGAUGCAACACCACACACAUCUUUAAAUGCAGUGUUAACCUACAGCAGGGUUUCCCAGUGGUGUAGUAGGAGCUACACGGAGGUAUACACCCUAAACCCCACAGAUGUUUAAACAGAGGUGUAGGAGGUAUACGCUCUAAACCCCACAGAGGUUUAAACAGUGGUGUAGUAGGAGCUACACGGAGGUAUACGCCCUAAACCCCACAGAGGUUUAAACAGUGGUGUAGUAGGAGCUACACGAAGGUAUACACCCUAAACCCCACAGAGGUUUAAACAGAGGUGUAGGAGGUAUACACCCUAAACCCCACAGAGGUUUAAACAGUGGUGUAGUAGGAGCUACACAGAGGUAUACGCUCUAAACCCCACUGAGGUUUAAACAGUGGUGUAGUAGGAGCUACACAGAGGUAUACACCCUAAACCCCACUGAGGUUUAAACAGUGGUGUAGUAGGAGCUGCACGGAGGUACAGUGCCUUGCGAAAGUAUUCGGCCCCCUUGAACUUUGCGACCUUUUGCCACAUUUCAGGCUUCAAACAUAAAGAUAUAAAACUGUAUUUUUUUGUGAAGAAUCAACAACAAGUUGGACACAAUCAUGAAGUGGAACGAUAUUUAUUGGAUAUUUCAAACUUUUUUAACUAAUCAAAAACUGAAAAAUUGGGCGUGCAAAAUUAGUCAUUAUGUGCUGUUUUUGAAUGAACAUUUCCAAAUGCUUUCCCAAGGAAAACUUUCAAAUGGAAGCUGCCAUAUGUAACUUUGUGCAACCAAACAAGUUCACAUAGAAAUGUGAAAACGUAUUGCAGAGGUUGAGAUUGUACAAAGACUAUACAAUUACUUAUUGUUUUGUCACAAACUGAAAUUAGGUGAACUUUGAAUUUUAGCAACCAGGAAAUGGUGGAGCUAUUUCUGUAUAGUGCAUCUUUAAAUGUUGACUACAAAUUAGGCCUACAUGAUAUAAUUAUGAUUGUAUCAAUCUGGAGGGCAUUUCUUUUGAAAACUCUGCAAUCACAUGUACUCUACUGUAGGCCUACAUUGUAGAGUACAGACACUGCGAGCCACAUGGUAUUUGGCUAGUUGCUUAAUUAUUUUAAAGGGCAACUAGACCCUCCCAAAAAUAGUAUUUUAUAUUUUUCCCAGACCUAAAAAAUGGUCUCCUUGUGCGGUAUAAGCAUUGAUGUGGGCUUAACAUGCAUUUGUUGUUUUUCUAUGAAAGAUUUUUCUGGCAAAAUGAUGGUGUACUCACUUCUCCAGGCACCGCUACACCAAUGGGUUUUCCUGUAUCUGUGAGUGAUUUGAUUUGGGACCUGAAUCUCCAACAGGCUUAGGCUGUUACGCAAUGGAUCAUCAUGUCUCACUCCCAUAGGCUGCUUCACUUGUCAAUCAUGUCUCUGCUAUCUUGCCCUGUAAUCUGUGAUAUCUCUCUCUCAAACACUCCUCUGUCUCUCAUCGUCAACUCUUUAUUUAAGAUAUUAAGCAAGCUCUACUUCUCUUAUCCUACAGUAUCUUCACCUGUCUGACAAAUCAAGCAAAUGAGAAAAUAAAACAAUCUGAAGAGAACCACACAGGGUUGAAUUGAUGAAAGCUGAA